UUAAAAGGUAUGUUUCUUUACUCAUUCCCUAUCACGCACCAAAUCCUGUGCUAAAUCCUCAGGGGGAACAGGGGUGGGUAAGACAGGUAUCCGACCUCAAGGAACUUCACGCCCUGUAUGAGCCACGGACACGGGGUGGGUUCGGAACACAUUUCCGCAAGAGUGCAAGUGACAGGAACAAAGCGCUCUGAGAACCAGCGGAGGAGGGACGGGUCCAUGCAGGCCAUUCCGCGUCUACGCUGAGUGAAGACUCACGUCUCUAGGUGUUGGGCGCGGCUCGAAGUGCCCUACGGGGUGGUGCAUCGUGAGCCUUUUACAGAUGGGAAACGAGGGAAAGCAGCCGAGGAAUUCGCCCAAAGUCACGCGGCAACUAAGUGGUAAAAGAGGGAGGUGAGCCCAGGCUGCCUGCCCGGCCGGAGUCACAGGAAAAGCCUCAGGGAGGAAUGGCGGCCUGAAGGAUCCGGGCAGGUGGAAAGCGGCGGCUCCUUCCCAGCGAAACCCGGAAAGAGGGCGCCUAGCUCUGGAUUGCGCUCCUUCGCUCGUCCGCCGUCCCAUCACCGACGCGGAGCGGUUUCACCUGCGCACCGGCGAGACGGAAGGGAAGGCGAGCCGCGUCCCGCGCGGCCGCACCGGAAGCGGCUCCAUGGAAACAGCGCCCCGGGCGAGGCGAGAUCUCGCGGGGCCGGGGCGGCGGAAGUGACGUCACCGCAUCGAGGCCCUCGGUGGGUCGCCGGCCCUCGUCCCGCGCGCGCCGUCUCCGCUGCCGGGCCGCCGGGAACAUGGCCUCCGCCCUGGAGCAGUUCGUCAACAGCGUCCGCCAGCUCUCCGCCCAAGGGCAGAUGACUCAGCUCUGUGAACUGAUCAACAAGAGCGGGGAGCUCCUUGCGAAGAACUUAUCCCACCUGGACACCGUGCUCGGGGCCCUGGACGUACAGGAGCACUCCUUGGGCGUCCUUGCCGUCCUGUUCGUGAAGUUUUCCAUGCCCAGCGCGCCCGACUUCGAGACGCUCUUCUCGCAGGCUCAGCUCUUCAUCAGCGCCUGCAACGGCGAGCACAUCCGCUACGCCACGGACACUUUCGCCGGGCUCUGCCACCAGCUGACCAAUGCGCUCGUGGAAAGAAAACAGCCCCUGCGCGGCAUCGGCGUCCUCAAGCAGGCCAUAGACAAGAUGCAGAUGAGCGCCAACCAGCUGACCUCAGUCCACGCCGACCUCUGCCAGCUCUGCCUGCUGGCCAAGUGCUUCAAGCCCGCCCUCCCGUACCUCGACGUGGACAUGGUGGACAUCUGCAAGGAGAACGGGGCCUACGACGCCAGGCACUUUCUCUGCUACUACUACUACGGCGGCAUGGUCUACACCGGCCUGAAGAACUUCGAGAGGGCGCUCUACUUCUACGAGCAGGCCAUCACCACCCCCGCCAUGGCCGUCAGCCACAUCAUGCUGGAGUCGUACAAGAAGUACAUCCUGGUGUCUCUGAUCCUGCUCGGCAAGGUGCAGCAGCUUCCGAAGUACACGUCGCAGAUCGUGGGCAGGUUCAUCAAGCCUCUCAGCAACGCGUACCACGAGCUGGCACAAGUUUACUCGACCAACAGCCCCUCGGAGCUCCGUACCCUGGUGAACAAGCACAGCGAGACCUUCGUGCGCGACAGCAACAUGGGGCUGGUGAAGCAGUGCCUGUCCUCGCUGUACAAGAAGAACAUCCAGCGGCUCACCAAGACGUUUUUAACGCUGUCGCUACAAGACAUGGCAAGUCGAGUGCAGUUGUCCGGGCCGCAGGAGGCAGAGAAGUACGUCCUGCACAUGAUCGAGGACGGAGAAAUCUUCGCCAGCAUCAACCAGAAGGAUGGGAUGGUCAGUUUCCACGACAACCCUGAGAAGUACAACAACCCCGCCAUGCUGCAGAGUAUCGACCAAGAGGUAGAUGCCAGCCCGGCUUCUGGGACCGGUGCUUCUGAUUUUGUCUUCCUUUAUGUAUUUGUGUAUUUCUUGUCUCUUCUGGGGCCGCACCCAUGGCACAUGGAGGUUCCCAGGCUAGGGGUUGAAUCUGAGCUACCGCCACCGGCCUACGCCACAGCCACAGCCACGCGGGAUCCGAGCCGCAUCUUCGACCUGCACCACAGCUCACGGCACUGCCGGGUCUUAACGUCCUCAACCCACUGAGCAAGGCCAGGGAUCGAACUCACAGCCUCGUGGUUCCUCGUCAGAUUCGUUAACCACUGCGCCACGACGGGAACUCCCGGUUGUGAUUUUAUAUUUGAAACACCGCCUCUGUGUUCCAGGGUAAUUUUAGUUUUAAAUGCGGCUCCUUUCUCAGAAUGUCCUAUUUCCCAGAAAGUCCAAUUCAAAACGGACGGCUUCAGACUCUUUCAGGUUGUGUGUUACACCGAAGUGGUGGGUUAGACUGCUCGCCUCGCUCACCAGAGCCUCCUUCCACCCUCAGGACACCUGAAGGGGCUUACAGUUUGCACAGGGUGUUACUGCUAAGUUAUACUGUCCACCCUCGACUCUUGGUAAAAUGCUUCUGGGGCUCCCCGUCUCAAGUCAGGAGGCCCUCCCUCCGUGGGGCGGGGGCAGCUGGAGGAGGCUGGGGAGCCGGGGCCCCUGCCCCGCGGAGCUGGUGCGGCGCCAGGGCCACUCUGGGUUCCGGACUGGCGUCGGGACCGGGCGGCAGCCUGUGCUUCUCAGCUCCGCCCGGGGACAGGAUUGACGCCGCGGAGGAGGCUCAGAACCCGGAAGGCGGUGCUUCACGGCUCCCUGUGGCGCCCCAACCCCGUUGGCAGUUCACAGGUUUUGAGAAACCUGAAAACGGGAAGGUUUUUUUGGUAACUCGUUGGGUGGCAGAUGUCACCUGGACUGACACUUAGUGUGACUGUUUCCAGGUUCCACUGCAGGGUGCUCGUGUGUGGGGGGGCGCUGCCAGAGAGCCUCCUGGGCUGGGAGGCGACACGCACUCCCUCUGCAGUUAGCUUUCUGGAUCCAGAAAAUUCUGGCUGCAGAGCCCGAGGGGCCCCGGCGCUGUGGCCCUGUGGCUGCCGCGUUGACAGUCUGGCAAAAGGGAUGCGCCUGCCCAAGCUGCCCACUGAGCCCGCGCAAACCCGCCCUCUGUGCAGAUGCUGAAGUGCAUAGAGCUGGACGAGCGGCUGAAGGCCAUGGACCAGGAGAUCACUGUGAACCCCCAGUUCGUGCAGAAGAGCAUGGGCUCGCAGGAAGACGAUUCGGGAAACAAACCGUCCAGCUACUCGUGAAGCCAGCGUCCGUCCGGGUUGAAGAGCAGCCGUGGCCCUGGCCGAGGCAAGUGGGGUGAGGCCGGCAGGGAGGAGCAGCCUGCCUCGCCCGGACCUGGAGACCGGCCGUCGCGUUUGGCAGCUCCAGUCCCGUGUGCUUUGGGAAGGCGUCCUCUCUGCAGACAAAGGAUAACCUGUCAACCGUGCAAGGCCGGCCUGGGUUUAUUUACCCUCAGGUCAAUGUCAUGGCAUUAAAUCCACCUUUCUGUUUAAAUUAUUGGAA